rnacentral:lncRNA from 1 species
AUGUCCAACUUUGGGGCCCACACUGAGAUUGUCCCCCCUGAUGUAGUUUGCUCCAGAGUGUUUUGCCUGUUUUUUUUUUUUCCCCCACAGUGCAUGGCAUGUGGGAUCUUAGUUCCUGGACCAGGGAGUGUCUGGUGUCUGGACCAGGGAUCCAACCCAUUCCCCACCCCACCUUCCACUCCCCCUGUGCAAUGGAAGGGUGGAGUCUUUAACCUCUGGAUUGUCAGAAAAGUCCCUGGGACAUUAACUUCUUGCUUCAAACCAUUUGUUAUUAUUCAUGGCCAAGGAUUCUUACUUUUUGCUUAUGUCUGUAUUUCAAAGGAGAAUUUGUUUCUUUCUAAUAUGUUCUACGAAAUGUUGGCUGUAUUUAUUGACCAGGCAAGACAAUACAACAGGGUAAUUUGGUAUUGGAUAAGCUCUCUAGGAUCAGCCCUCUCUGUGAGGAUCAGCGAUGUGGGUGGGUGCAGGGGGAACUUAAAGCCCCUUUGACACAGGCAGCACACAGGGGACCAUGAACACUGAAGGUGAGUGAAUAGGAAAAACUCUUGUUUCCUCUGCGUGUGUGCUAAUUUGCUUCAGUUAUAUCCAACUCUUUAUGACCCUAUGGACCGCAGCCUGCCAGGCUCCUGUCCAUGGGAUUCUUCAGGCAAGAAUACUGAAGUGGGUUGCCAUGCACUCUGCCAGGGGAUCUUCCCAAACCAGGGAUUGAACCUGCAUCUCUUAUGUCUCCUGCA